GACGAACGCUGGCGGCGUGCUUAACACAUGCAAGUCGUACGGUAAGGCCCUUUCGGGGGUACACGAGUGGCGAACGGGAGAGUAACACGUGAGUAACCUGCCCACAACUUUGGGAUAACGCUAGUAAACUGGUGCUCAUACUGGAUAUGUUCUCCUGCUGCAUGGGGGGGGUUGGAAAGCUCCUGCGGUUGUGGAUGGACUCGCGGCCUAUCAGCUUGUUGGUGGGGUAGUGGCCUACCAAGGCGGCGACGGGGAGCCGGCCUGAGAGGGUGACCGGCCACAUUGGGACUGAGAUACGGCCCAGACUCCUACGGGGGGCAGCAGUGGGGAAGGUUGCACAAUGGGCGCAAGCCGGAUGAAGCAACGCCGCGUGCGGGAUGACGGCCUUUGGGUUGGAAGCCGCAUUCAGCAGGGACGGAGCUGUUUGUGACGGUACCUGCAGAAGAAGCACCGGCUAACUACGUG
rnacentral:rRNA from 1 species